ACAACCGGAGUGUUGCGGUGAUGAGCAAAUAUAACAACAACCACAGAACAUAAGCAGGUGCCCAGCAGAGAAGCAGUGGUCAGGGAGAUGCCCAGAGGCUCUUCAAAGGAUAAAUACUCCACUUCUUUAGGAAUACACAGAUUCUUAUCUGAAUUCGACCAGAAUUCAUCUGGACACUCUGUGCAUUCAUUUGCAUCUGAAAGAGACAGAAAGAAAAAUAAAUUUAGAAGAAAAAAUAUUAUAAAAUUUUUUUAGUCAAUAAUCUCCUUACCUGUUGUAUUAGAAAUCUCUCCAUCUGCACAUGGCAGGCAGUCAAAACAGCAGACAGGAAGGCCUUUCCUCCUGGCUUGUCUGGUGCCUGGUGGGCAGCUCUCACUACACACAGACCGUGGAGGCUAAAAGAUACAUGAUUAAAAAAGUUAAGCAUGUGUUGCUUUAUUAUAUAUCAUUGAAAGGAAAAUUUAAUGUUUAAUGUUACUUUUCUUGUCUCAAAGUUCCAGUAUAAUGCAUCUACAUCCAGUGUGAGCACCUUCCCUGUUGCUGCCCCUUCAUCCACCACACCGACUGUGCGGACAGUGAUUGACCCAUCAGCGCUCGGCUGCCAGUUCAUCACAUCAUAGAUGGCCAGAGCAUCUCCAUUCUUAUCAAAUGACACAUGAUCCCCAAAACCUGUGGUGAAGUUCACCUUCUGUAGGUAAUGGACCACCUGAACAGUUUACAAGCAGGAUAUCUGUGACUUUGCUUUAUAUGAAUAUUUUGUGUCAAUACUUUAUUUAUUAUCUAUAGCUGCCAAAUAAGUUGUGCUUCUGUUUACAGUCUUACCUGCCAGGGCUGCAGGUUUGUUAUGUCAGCACAGGUGUUAUCACUGAAUGGUCCUCUCCCCUCCUCACACUGCAUCAGAUCAUGAAGUGCAUAUGCCAGGGCAUAAACCGCUUUGUACACAUUAUAGGCAGCCCUCAACCCUGAUACAUCAGUGUAUGCUGUGUUUGUGCUGCUCAGAUCCUCUUGCCCUGUACACAGUUUUUCUUUCUCGCUGCCUAUAGGCUCAAAGCUGCACCCAAACAUGUUCUCCCAGAAAAUUUUUACAACAUUAUUUCUUGGAUUGUUGUCAGGACGAAGGCGUAACAAAAACUCAUAAAAACCCUGAAUUUCUCCACGUCGGAUGGCAAUGCCCAGUGUGCCACCCAGAAAUGGUAGGAGACGCUGUGUGUGAAACAAAGGAGAGGUGGCCCAACCUUCACUUGCAAUCCACUGCCUCCCUGUCACAUUCUGUAAUGCCACCUCAUCCAUCAAAGGCACGACAUAAGCUACUGUGGAGAAAACUACCACAACUUUAGCUGUGGAGGUCUGAAUGACUUUUACUAUGCGCUGAAUAUCUCUAGGGUUGUUAUCACGGGGCAGAAUUUCAGAAAAGCCAACACAGCCUCCAAACAGCUUCACAUUUUGGUGGAAGGACUGAGCGGCGUUAAUGCCGUAAUCAUCAUCACUAUAGAGAAGACCAACCCAAGUCCAUCCAAAAUGUCUCAAGAUCUGAAUCAUAGCCCGCACCUGGAAGGCAUCACUGGGAAUAGUUCUGAAGAAGGAGGGGUGUUUUUUUCUGUCACUCAGACAGGAGCAACUGGCAUAGUAGCUAACCUAAUAAAAGAGACAAUAUUAAAAAAAGAGUCAGUGCUAUAAAUAUGUCUCUUUAACAUGCCUGCAAAUUAAGUAAAGCUAAAUAAUUGUUUAAUAGAAAGAUAUAAGACAUUAUAUUCUUGUCAUCCUACCAUAGGUAUUCGAAACAACCCCAGCACACUGGAGAUUGCAAUACAAUGAGUGGAACUUGGGUCACCUACAAUUCCAAUCACUGGUGGUGGACCGGUGCAGUUAAAAUUGGAGAGGGUCUCCUCUGUACCACUAAGCAAGGAAGUUGCAGCCCGAAAUGCCACUCCUAACUUAAUACAGUUGUCAUACAGAUGAUAACCAAGGUUUAGCCCAGGCUCACCGCUGGCAAUGCGGUUGUUCCGGUUCUUUAAUGAAGCUCAGUUCUGGGAACACUGUGAUGAGAUGAAAUGCAAACAGGCCUCCAAUGAUAAGGUCUCCAUCCUGAUACAUCCCAUUCAACUUGAAGCGUCCCUGAAGUUUACAGAUGCCUGGGCUGGUGCCCGAAGCUGCAGAGAUAAAGUUAAAGUGUUUCUCUCUGGAUGUAAGAGGAUGAUGUAGCACUUUGGUGCAAAUAUGGCCACCAGCAAUCCAAAACUGGAUGCCAAGAUGGCAAAAAUCUCCACAGCCACUGCAUAUUUUCCUGGUGAGCUGACAUAAGC